rnacentral:rRNA from 1 species
CAAUAGCGUAUAUUAAAGUUGUUGCGGUUAAAAAGCUCGUAGUUGGAUUUCUGCUGAGGAUGACCGGUCCGCCCUGUGGGUGUGCAUCUGGCUCAGCCUUGGCAUCUUCCUGAAGAACGUAGCUGCACUUGACUGUGUGGUGCGGUAUUUAGGACAUUUACUUUGAGGAAAUUAGAGUGUUUCAAGCAAGCGCACGCUUUGAAUACAUUAGCAUGGAAUAAUAAGAUAGGACCUUGGUUCUAUUUUGUUGGUUUCUAGAGCUGAGGUAAUGAUUGAUAGGGAUAGUUGGGGGCAUUCGUAUUUAACUGUCAGAGGUGAAAUUCUUGGAUUUGUUAAAGACGGACUACCGCGAAAGCAUUUGCCAAGGAUGUUUUCAUUGA